GAUAAACGCUGGCGGCGUGCCUAAUACAUGCAAGUCGAACGGAGAGUUUGUAGUAAUACGGACUCUUAGUGGCGAAUGGGUGAGUAACGCGUUGGUGAUCUGCCCCGAAGAGGGGGAUAACAGUUCGAAAGGACUGCUAAUACCCCAUGUGGUCACGAGGGUUAAGUUCCUCGUGUCUAAAGGAGUAAUCCGCUUCGGGAGGAGCCUGCGUCCCAUCAGCUAGUUGGUAGGGUAACGGCCUACCAAGGCUACGACGGGUAGGGGGCCUGAGAGGGUGGCCCCCCACACUGGCACUGAAACACGGGCCAGACACCUACGGGUGGCUG
rnacentral:rRNA from 1 species